GACGAGGGACGCAGAAACCACCACUGUAUUCCGUUAUUGUGACAUGACGGCAGGAUGCUCACUCCCUCCGAGGUGAUCGAGUUCUUAGAACAUGUUUAAAGAAUCAGACUCCCGUCCCUUGUCGCAGGGAAGGGCAGAGGGAGGACCUACGAGGGCGUCAAACAGGACAGGGGAAAAGCAACACAUCCAUCUGCUGUAUCACGUGAAGUGAGCAAUAGGGGCCUAACCCUGACACGGCCCUGCAAUGUGCCGGUGUCUAGAAUUCUCCAACUUCAAAUGAGUUCUUGUAGCCAAGAGGGAUCCUCCCUUCCCUUACCCGUCAUAACCAAGGUUCCAGGACAAUGAUAUAAUUAAAGUACUAUUUACUUUUAUUAUUUUUAAAUAAAUCAUACCAUAGUAAUAAUGCCAGGUACUGUUUUUUUCCAUCCAUGUGGUUGAUAAAGAAACUCAGGUUAGUAAAACUAUUUUCAGUUUUAUUAUAAACGUGUGUGGUGACAGUCACGAGGUUUGGGUCUCGUCAUGUAGGCGCGGACGAUGUUAUUCGUCCGGUCGCACUACCUCGGCGGAUGAGAACACAGAAUGAGACAGCACAUAUACA